rnacentral:rRNA from 1 species
GACGAACGCUGGCGGCGUGCUUAACACAUGCAAGUCGAACGGUAAGGCCCUUCGGGGUACACGAGUGGCGAACGGGUGAGUAACACGUGGGUGAUCUGCCCUGCACUUCGGGAUAAGCCUGGGAAACUGGGUCUAAUACCGGAUAGGACUCCUGGCUUCAUGGUUGGGGGUGGAAAGCUUUUGCGGUGUGGGAUGGGACCGCGGCCUAUCAGCUUAUUGGUGGGGUAAUGGCCUACCAAGGCGACGACGGGUAGCCGGCCUGAGAGGGUGACCGGUCACACUGGGACUGAGAUACGGCCCAGACUCCUACGGGAGGCAGCAGUGGGGAAUAUUGCACAAUGGGCGCAAGCCUGAUGCAGCGACGCCGCGUGAGGGAUGACGGCCUUCGGGUUGUAAACCUCUUUCAGCUAUGACGAAGCGCAAGUGACGGUAGUAGCAGAAGAAGGACCGGCCAACUACGUGCCAGCAGCCGCAGUAAUAC